rnacentral:rRNA from 1 species
CCUACGGGAGGCAGCAGUGGGGGAUAUUGCACAAUGGGGGGAACCCUGAUGCAGCGACGCCGCGUGGGUGAAGGAGUGCUUCGGCAUGUAAAGCCCUAUCGGCAGGGAAGAAGCAAGACGGUACCUGACUAAGAAGCCCCGGCUAACUACGUGCCAGCAGCCGCGGUAAUACGGAGGGGGCGAGCGUUAUCCGGAUUCACUGGGUGUAAAGGGAUCGUAGACGGCCAUGCAAGCCAGGGGUGAAAGCCCGGGGCCCAACCCCGGUACUGCCCUUGGAACUGCAUGGCUGGAGUGCGGGAGGGGCAGGCGGAAUUCCUGGUGUAGCGGUGAAAUGCGUAGAUAUCAGGAGGAACACCGGCGGCGAAGGCGGCUUGCUGGACCGCGACUGACGUUGAGGCUCGAAAGCGUGGGGAGUGAACAGGAUUAGAUACCCUAGUAGUC